UGGGGAAUAUUGGACAAUGGGCGCAAGCCUGAUCCAGCAAUGCCGCGUGUGUGAAGAAGGCCUUCGGGCUGUAAAGCACUUUAAGCAGGGAAGAAAAAACUCGGUCUAAUACAUCGAGUCUUGACGGUACCUGAAGAAUAAGCACCGGCUAACUCUGUGCCAGCAGCCGCGGUAAUACAGAGGGUGCUAGCGUUAAUCGGAUUUACUGGGCGUAAAGCGUGUGUAGGUGGUUGUUCAAGUCAGUUGUGAAAUCCCUGGGCUUAACCUGGGAACUGCUUCUGAGACUGAACGACUAGAGUACGGUAGAGGGUGGUGGAAUUUCCGGUGUAGCGGUGAAAUGCGUAGAUAUCGGAAGGAACAUCAAUGGCGAAGGCAGCCACCUGGGCCUGUACUGACACUGAGACACGAAAGCGUGGGGAUCAAACAGGAUUAGAUACCCUGGUAGUCCACGCCGUAAACGAUGAGAACUUGACGUCGGUUUGCUCUGCAAGUCGGUGUCGUAGCUAACGCGAUAAGUUCUCCGCCUGGGGAGUACGGCCGC
rnacentral:rRNA from 1 species